rnacentral:rRNA from 1 species
UACGUAGGGGGCAAGCGUUGUCCGGAUUUACUGGGCGUAAAGAGCGUGUAGGCGGCCAUACAGGUCCGUUGUGAAAACUGGAGGCUCAACUUCCAGACGUCGACGGAAACCGUGUGGCUAGAGUCCGGAAGAGGAGAGUGGAAUUCCUGGUGUAGCGGUGAAAUGCGCAGAUAUCAGGAGGAACACCAAUAGCGAAGGCAGCUCGCUGGGACGUUACUGACACUGAGGCGCGAAAGCGUGGGGAGCGAACAGG